CCUCGGGCCGCUGCAGUAAAGAAUCUUCCACAAUGGACGAAAGUCUGAUGGAGCGACACCGCGUGCAGGAUGAAGGCCUUUGGGUUGUAAACUGCUUUUCUGGGGGAAUAAUUCUGAAGGUACCCUAGGAAUAAGCACCGGCUAAAUCCGUGCCAGCAGACCGCGGUAAUACGGAUGGUGCAAACGUUACCCGGAAUUAUUGGGCGUAAAGCGUCCGCAGGCGGCGCAGUAAGUCAGAUAUUAAAUCCCAUGGCUCAACUUUGGGGCUGUGUCUGAAACUACUAUGCUAGAGUCUUUCAGAGGCGAGUGGAAUUCUAUAUGUAGGGGUAAAAUCCGUAGAUAUAUAGAGGAACACCAAAAGCGAAGGCAGCUCGCUGGGAAAGUACUGACGCUCAUGGACGAAAGCGUGGGGAGCAAACGGGGUUAGAUACCCCCGUAGUC
rnacentral:rRNA from 1 species